UUGAUCCUGGCUCAGAAUCAACGCUGGCGGCGUGCCUAACACAUGCAAGUCGAACGCGAAAGCCCCGCAAGGGGUUAGUAGAGUGGCAAACGGGUGAGUUACACGUGGGUGACCUGCCUUCGAGUGGGGGAUAACGUCCCGAAAGGGACUCUAAUACCGCAUAACAUCCUGCCUUUGAAGAGGCGGAGAUCAAAGCUGGUGACCGCAAGGCCUGGCGCUCAAAGAGGGGCCCGCGUCUGAUUAGCUAGUUGGUGAGGUAAUGGCUCACCAAGGCAACGAUCAGUAUCCGGCCUGAGAGGUCGGACGGACACACUGGGACUGAGACACGGCCCAGACUCCUACGGGAGGCUGCAGUGGGGAAUUGUUCGCAAUGGGCGCAAGCCUGACGACGCAACGCCGUGUGGAGGAUGAAGACCUUCGGGUCGUAAACUCCUUUCGAUCGAGACGAAUAGCCUUCGGGUGAACAAUCCGGAGGUUUGACGGUACCGAGAGAAGAAGCUCCGGCUAACUCCGUGCCAGCAGCCGCGGUAAUAAGGU
rnacentral:rRNA from 1 species